rnacentral:rRNA from 1 species
UACAGAGGUCUCAAGCGUUGUUCGGAUUCAUUGGGCGUAAAGGGUGUGUAGGUGGCGCGCUAAGUCGGGUGUGAAAUUUCGGAGCUUAACUCCGAAACUGCAUUUGAUACUGCCUUGCUUGAGGACUGGAGAGGAGACUGGAAUUCACGGUGUAGCAGUGAAAUGCGUAGAUAUCGUAAGGAAGACCAGUGGCGAAGGCGGGUCUCUGGACAGUUCCUGACGCUGAGGCACGAAGGUCAGGGGGAGCAAACGGG